UCUACCUCCAGGUCACCCACGUGUUCUCCAACAUCAGGAGGGGCGUCCGUUUUGUGUCUUUUGAACACUGGGGCCAGGACACACAGUUCUGGGCUGGCCACUAUGGGGCCAGAAUGACGAACUCCAGCGUGAUUGUACGAGUCUGUCCAUCCUAGUCAAAAGGCCACCAUUUUGACAAGACAAUCUGACUGUGCCUUCCUGGAGCUGUCAUCUGGAAACCCUCAUGAGUCAAGCACUGUCCCUCCCUGGUUCAUGAAACUUUAGGAUCCACUGAAGGGUCCUGCUUGGCCUUUUUUCAGAGUCUGGAACACGGAAGUCCUCCAUCAGGUCUGCCUGUUGCUGCUGCUUUAGAGCAUGGGUGCCUGGGUGCCCGGAUGCACAGGUGCCUAGAUGCACGGGUGCCCUGAUGCAUGGGUUCCCUGAUGCAUGGGUGCAUGCUGGUCUUAGAUCACAAGCUGUCCCCGAUAUUGAUCCCUGACCCUUUUUUGAGACAGAUGCCUUUGGCGCUUUGUGCUGGGACUACAGGCACACACUGACACCACUCAGCUUUGUGCAGUGCUGGGGAUGAGCCCAGGGUUUCGUGCAUGCCAGGCAAGCAUUUUGCUCUCCGAGCAACAUGCCAGCAUCCCCUCUGGUCACAUGCUGUUUCUGCCUCAGGGACUUUCUCUGUCCCUUCACUGAAGCCCUCUACUUAUGGCUGAACUCAGAAUUUAUGGUUAGCAAAACUCCAGCUCCCUUGGGUAAGGAACCAAAGCUUUCUUGACUACAACCAGGCUUCCGUAUUGAAGGGUGUCUUAGGGUAUCUACCCACAGAUUUUCUCCAAACAAUUAGGAAGUGCCUAGAGCCCAGGCCCUGAUCAUCACAGAUGUCUAUAAUUGUGUUAUAUUUAAAGUUACCUUUCAUUUUCUCAAACAAUGAGAGAAUAACACACUGGCAAUAUCUACCUGCCAAUUGCACUGUAAUAAAUUGAUUAUUUUGCCUA
rnacentral:lncRNA from 1 species